rnacentral:rRNA from 1 species
CUGGGCUUGACAUACACCGGAUCGGGCUAGAGAUAGUCUUUCCCUUUGUGGUUGGUGUACAGGUGGUGCAUGGUUGUCGUCAGCUCGUGUCGUGAGAUGUUGGGUUAAGUCCCGCAACGAGCGCAACCCUUGUCUUAUGUUGCCAGCAUUUGGUUGGGGACUCAUGAGAGACUGCCGGGGUCAACUCGGAGGAAGGUGGGGAUGACGUCAAAUCAUCAUGCCCCUUAUGUCCAGGGCUUCACACAUGCUACAAUGGUCGGUACAACGCGCAGCGACACUGUGAGGUGGAGCGAAUCGCUGAAAGCCGGCCUUAGUUCGGAUUGGGGUCUGCAACUCGACCCCAUGAAGUCGGAGUCGCUAGUAAUCGCAGAUCAGCAAUGCUGCGCAUU